rnacentral:rRNA from 1 species
UACGGGGGGAGCAAGCGUUGUUCUGAUUUACUGGGCGUAAAGGGCGCGUAGGCGGCCACCGCAAGUCGACUGUGAAAUCUCCGGGCUUAACCCGGAACGGUCAGCUGAUACUGCGGGGCUAGAGUGCAGAAGGGGCAACUGGAAUUCUCGGUGUAGCGGUGAAAUGCGUAGAUAUCGAGAGGAACACCUGCGGCGAAGGCGGGUUGCUGGGCUGACACUGACGCUGAUGCGCGAAAGCUAGGGGAGCGAACGGG